rnacentral:rRNA from 1 species
UACGAAGGGUGCAAGCGUUACUCGGAAUUACUGGGCGUAAAGCGUGCGUAGGUGGUUCGUUAAGUCUGUCGUGAAAGCCCCGGGCUCAACCUGGGAAUGGCGAUGGAAACUGGCGAGCUAGAGUGCGGUAGAGGGCGGUGGAAUUCCCGGUGUAGCAGUGAAAUGCGUAGAGAUCGGGAGGAACAUCAGUGGCGAAGGCGGCCGCCUGGACCAGCACUGACACUGAGGCACGAAAGCGUGGGGAGCAAACAGGAUUAGAUACCCUGGUAGUCCACGCCCUAAACGAUGCGAACUGGACGUUGGGUGCAAUUGAGCAUUCAGUGUCGAAGCUAACGCGUUAAGUUCGCCGCCUGGGGAGUACGGUCGCAAGACUGAA